AUACGGAGGGUGCAAGCGUUAUUCGGAAUCACUGGGCGUAAAGGACGCGUAGGCGGGUUGGCAAGUCAGAUGUGAAAUCCUACAGCUUAACUGUAGAACUGCAUUUGAAACUGCUAACCUAGAGUAUGGGAGGGGGAGAUGGAAUUAGUGGUGUAGGGGUAAAAUCCGUAGAUACCACUAGGAAUACCGAAAGCGAAGGCGAUCUCCUGGAACAUAACUGACGCUAAGGCGUGAAAGCGUGGGGAGCAAACAGGAUUAGAUACCCUAGUUGUCC
rnacentral:rRNA from 1 species